rnacentral:rRNA from 1 species
CCUACGGGAGGCAGCAGUGAGGAAUAUUGGUCAAUGGGCGCGAGCCUGAACCAGCCAAGUAGCGUGAAGGAUGACUGCCCUACGGGUUGUAAACUUCUUUUAUAAAGGAAUAAAGUGAGGCACGUGUGCCUUAUUGUAUGUACUUUAUGAAUAAGGAUCGGCCAACUCCGUGCCAGCAGCCGCGGUAAUAAGGAGGGUCCGAGCGUUAUCCGGAUUUGUUGGGUUUAAAGGGAGCGUAGAUGGGUUGUUAAGUCAGUUGUGAAAGUCUGCGGCUCAACCGUACAAUUGCAAUUGAUACUGGCAGCCGUGAGUAUGGGUGAGGUAGGCGGAAUUCGAGGUGUAGCGGUGAAAUGCUUAGAUAUCAGGAAGAACACCAGUUGCGAAGG